GAUGAAGAACGCAGCGAAAUGCGAUAAGUAAUGUGAAUUGCAGAAUUCAGUGAAUCAUCGAAUCUUUGAACGCACAUUGCGCCCGCCAGUAUUCUGGCGGGCAUGCCUGUCCGAGCGUCAUUUCAACCCUCGAACCCCUCCGGGGGGUCGGCGUUGGGGAUCGGCCCUUUACGGGGCCGGCCCCGAAAUACAGUGGCGGUCUCGCCGCAGCCUCUCCUGCGCAGUAGUUUGCACACUCGCAUCGGGAGCGCGGCGCGUCCACAGCCGUUAAACACCCCAAACUUCUGAAAUGUUGACCUCGGAUCAGGUAGGGAUACCCGCUGAACUUAAGCAUAUCAAUAGCGGAGGA
rnacentral:misc_RNA from 1 species